AUGCGGUCGCACGUGUCGGUGACGCACCAAGCCGAUGCGCAUCCUUUCGGUGAGUGGCGGGGUGGACAGACCAUGUGUUGGGGCGACGCCAGCGCGACGGGUUUAACCUCAUUGUACCCAACAGUGUCUACGUUCUUCUGGAAGCAUCAGCACGUCAGUGUGAUCAAUCCACGCAAGAAGCUGGCGAACAACCCCUCCACAUAUCAAGUUGGACAUGGGUCUCCGGAACUAGGCCCAGCGGGCCUGGCCCGCUGGCACACCCAUUCACGGACUCGUGAUCCUUCUAGAAGGAGGAGGGUUAGCGCCGUCAAGGGGUCCAAAGUCCAAACCCAAAUAGCCUGCAUUCGGCAGGCACGGGCGCAACAGUUCCUCACACAGCCCAACAAACCCGCCCCGGCGCCACCGUGCCCGACCAGCGAAACCGCCUCCCGCUCUUCCCACCUCCCUCCUCCUCCACCCUCUCUCGGCCUCGUCGCGGCCGCGGACGCCUCCUCCGGCUGCUCGGGUUCUUCCUCCAAGGCCCUCUCCCUCGCCGAUUUUUGCUUCAGGAAAGUUCAUGGCGCUGCUAACUCUAGUCCGUAUGGUUCUGUUUUGGGGGUUCAGAAUUCACUUGACUCAUUCUUGUUGUUUCUUAGUUUCCAGGCGACAGGCGUGAUGGUAGAGGAGAAGAGGGAGAGGGCGGAGGAGGCGUCCGAGAGCCCGCAGAAAUCUCCGCGCCUGGACCCGCUGGCUGCGGCCGUGGCAGGUCCUGGAUGCAGCGACGCGCCUGCGUCUCCGACGGAGUCGAGCGACGAGUGGCCAUCGUCCGGGGAAUCGGAGGCGGGGACAAGCAGCGACAGUACCGGCGAUGGCGGGCGGUGCGAGCACAUACGCUUGGACCGCGAACUCCUGGAUAUGCACGUGUAUUAUCUCACGGAGCAGCGGGCGGUGCUCCGGACGUGCCAUCUUAGUAAGUGCAAGACGACCUGUAAGGGCAACGAAGGGAUGAUGAAGUGCAUAAACUGCUCCAGAUUCUUCUGCUCUGGGUGGCCGGUGAACAGGGAAAGCCCGCAGGAACAUGCCCUCUGGCACGCUGGCGAGAACACGCAUUGGGUUGCUCAGUGGUGCGAUGAACCGAAUUUGGGAUACUGCUUCUUGUGUGCGCGCGGUAUGAGGCUCAGUGACCGGAGCGAAGAUGACUAUGCAGUGGCGGCCAGAAACAAAAAGGAUCAGCAAGGACUGGGGGAUAGCGUUGCAAAGGAUGGCUGGGGAUCGGUGUCUGGCAUUGCAAAGGAUGGGUGCAAGCCGGGGGGCAAGAACCCGCAGAACCCUGAGAACACGCAGAAAUACCCGCACCUGGACCUGCCUGCGUCCAAGGCACCUGUGUUGUUGAGCGAGUCGCCAUCGACGGGGGAAGUGGAGGAGACCAGCGACUGCACAUACGACAUCGGGUCAUGCGAGCACUUGUUCAAGGACAGGGAGGAGCUGGAUGAUAUGGUGCAUGAUAUCAAGACCGCCGAGAAGCCCCCAGAGUGCGAGCAUUUCCUGUGCACGACCACCUGCACCUGGAGGGGAGCUGCUGCUAGGUUUAUGGUGUGCACGGAGUGCACCUCUACUUUCUGCACCGGGGAGAAGGGGGGCAUGGAAAAUCCGCAGGGACACGCCCGCUUGCACGCCACCAGGGACUACCAUUGGGUUGCUCUGUGGUACGAUGAACCGUAUAAGGGCUACUGCUUCGAGUGUGGGCACGUUCUGAAGCUCGGUCAGGACAAGCUGAGCGAUGAUGAGUGGGCAGCUCUGGCCAGAAAUAAAAGGGUUGAGCGGGCAAUGUCGGCCAGCAAUGGAUGGGAUGUGUGGCGAACGGUGCCCGAGAGUUAUGCAAAGGAUUUGUGGGCAAUAGUGACCGGCAAUGAUGCGUCUGGGUAUGCUAAUGGGAAUGGCUGUGUUAUCAGAGGGUUGCCGAAUCUUGGAAACACAUGCUACAUGAAUGCACUGCUUCAGUGCCUCCUUGCACUCGGUGAGCUGAGGACAACGAUUUUAGGACCGGGUGCUCGGCUGGGGAGCAUUGGUCUGCACCUGAAGCAAUUAUUUGUGGAGACAAGCAGCACAAAUGAUGCCAGGCACACGCUGGAUCCAGAGAUGCUAUUGGAAGGUAUGCGGGUGUUUAAUCCACAGUUCAAGGGCUCUUAUAUGCAGGACAGCCAAGAGUUUCUUACAUCUUUGCGCACUGCUUUGGAGGAGGAGACGAAGGACCUAAACAAAUUUCAUGGGGGUGCAGAGUUUCGUCCAAUUGGCAAUUCCAUUUUCGGGGGCUGGCUGCGUCAGACCUUAUACUGCAUAAGUUGCCCAACUAAAUCAGUUUUGGAUCUGCAAUUCGAUGAGCUCCAACUGGCACUGCCAUCAAAGGAUUGUCCAGCCAGAAGUGUUACGUUACCACCAAUGACCAGAAGCGGUGGAUCUCCGACGAAGACUCGUAAGGAACUAUUCCAACAAACCGACAAGACCGAUGGAGAAAAGAUUCAAACAAUUGCUGAAGGCUGUGAUUCUCAGUUUCCUGGUUCAGAAUUUGGAGAUGUGGCCAUGGAGAAAAUACCCAAGCCUUUGCAAGUUGAUUCUACUGAAGUGGAGGAUGUUGCACACGGUCGUUUGCAGACUCAGAAGAAUGAUGUCCCGCGAGAGAUCAUUGAAGUGCCAAUAAAAGCUCUUGAUUUCAUUGCUAACUUGUUUGAUGACACUGAAGAAAUGGAUGAAUCAAUAGUAGAUCCUCACAGUCCAGAAGAUACUGGUCCACCUCCACUUGUUGAUAUAGAAGCCAAGGAGAACACUUACUCAGUAGAACCUACUACAGAAGACAAGGGGAGAGCUCAGAGCAGUGAAAUUACUGAUGAUGAGGCAGUACAUAUGAACUCUGUUGCAUCGCUCGAGGACUGCUUGACACUUCUUUGCUAUUGUCCAAUGGGAUGGAAAUGUGGUAACUGUUCCAAGGUUGUUGAGCUUGGAGAUAAUAAGAUUCAAACAGUUGCUGAAGGCAGCACUUUUCAGAUUCCCAGUUCAGGAUUGGGAGAUGGGGCAAUGGAGAAAACCCCCAGGCCUUUGCAAGUUGAUUCUAGCGAAGUGAAGGAUGUUGUACACGGUCAUAUGCAGACUCAGAAGAAUGAUGUCCCACAAGAGAUCAUUGAGGUGCCAAUAGAAAUUUUGGAUUUCAUUCCUGACUUAUUUGAUGACACUGAAGGAAUGGAGGAAGCAACAACAGAUUCUCGCAAUCCAGAAGAUAAGGAGACGACUUACCCAGUAAAAGUUACUACCAAAGGCAAGGAGGAAGCUCAGAGCAGUGAUAUUGUUCAUGAUGAGGCCGAACAUAUGAACUCUCUUGGGUUGAUUGAGGACUUCCUGGAACUGUUUGCGCGUCGAGUGAAGGAAAGCUGCGAGAACUGUUCCAAGGUUGCUGAACAGAUCAUGGCAAGCACCAAUAUAAAUACAAUUGUUGAUGGAGAUCAGACUGAGCUGUCGGACAGAAAAACAUGCCUAAGUGAGCAAUCUAGUGACUGUAAUAGCUUGUCCGUAGAAUCUCCAAGUAGGCAACCAUAUCGUUCAGAUGUACAUCAUCAAGUUAUACUCUCUGAAAGCAUAACUACUGAAGAAAUCACUUCAGGGACGAGCUGUGGUGAAAAGGACUCUGCCUCUUGCAGCACAGCCAGUGAAAAAGCUGAAACUGAUCAAGGUGUACAAGAAGCUGGGCUUCCAGCUGAUAAACAGACUGACCUGCUCAGUGCCCAGGAUAGUCCGGAUACCAGCACUCAAAAUCAGGGUUGUGCGAAGCAGGCAAUGCUGGAUGAUCAUAUUGCCCAACAAAUGGAGGGAAGCCAAAAUGAGCAGAAAGAUGGUCGCAGUACAGAAGGAAGUAACGCUCAGAUGGAACAAACACAGUUAUUUGUUGAGACCGUUCUUGGUGUGACUAUGUCAAUGCAGUUUGAAUUAAGUAAAUCUUCUCGAGAAUUUGCGGAGGCAGUUGAAAUGAGUACUGUGUUCAAUAAAACAGAACACUACUUGGAGUAUGGUGGCAUGAUUUUAGACUCAAAAACCAAAUUGAAUGAGACGGGCAUUGGAAAGGGCUCAACGGUUCGUAUUCGCACAAGGGUUUUGGGAGGAAUACCGGAUCAACAGACGUUGGUACUGGCCCAAUUUCCUUUUGAAGAUGGAAUCUUAAGAAUGAUACAGAUGCCGGAUAGUGCCAACACUGAGCCAGAACUGACUCCAAUGGGUUCCACCAUUUUCAGAAAUCUGAUUAAGUUAGUAACUGACAGUUUGGAUGCUGGUUUCUAUUGGACAGAAAUGUUGACAUUCCAUGACUUCUCGGUUGAUGAGAAUGGAAGAGUAUAUGCACUGCGCGCACCUGUACCAAUUUCUGAUGUCCUGGUUCCUCUGGAGGCUGACCAUGAUCGCCAUUAUAUGCAUAUUCGGAGCUGUUUUGAAGCCAACCUUGACAAUCUUGCAGAGCACAUUGAGGUGUAUUUCAGGCUUCACGGGAAGUACCCCGCUUAUAUGCAAAAUUUGGUUAGAAAACUGAGGGGAUUCAGGCUGGUUGCUGGCCAAUUAGAGCCAAGCUCCAACUGGGUGACUCAAAUUACCUAUGCCAAGGGCAGUUACGCCGGAGACAAGCUGAGUGCUUUCUUUGUUUCACGCAAUUAUUUCUCGCAUUCUUAUGGAAACGCUUGGAUUAACGGGUACUGUUAUUAUCCAUGCGAUUCUGGACUUGAGAUCCUACUCUUCAAGUGUCUCGGUGACUUCUUAGCAGACUUAAUUGAAGAAUUACUAGAGAUGGGUUUUGAUCUUUUUGACAUGUAUGCAUACUGUGGCUCAUGUCAUGCUGUCCUAAGUUGGACUCGUGAUGAUGUCUUGCUCAGACUAGCAUUUCGUACUUGUCAGGAUAUGAUAAUUGCUAGCUUAAUUGAACUGUCUGAAGGUAACUCCAGCUAUCGCCUAGUCGGUGUCAUUGAGCACUGUGGCCAUGCCUUGAGUAUAGGGCACUACGUUGCUUAUGUGAGGGCAGGUCGCAAGCAGCAGAGCAGUGGUUCUUCCUCAUGGGUUUGCGCAACCGAUCGCGACAUCAAGGAAGUCCCUCUAGAAGAAGUUCUCGGGUGCGAGGCGUACAUGCUUUUCUAUGAGAGGAUGGAUGGCCGAGGCAUAUCUGGGAGCCUACCCACCAACUAA
rnacentral:rRNA from 1 species